rnacentral:rRNA from 1 species
GCAAGUCGAACGGAAAGGCCCCUUCGGGGGUACUCGAGUGGCGAACGGGUGAGUAACACGUGGGUAAUCUGCCCUGCACUUCGGGAUAAGCCUGGGAAACUGGGUCUAAUACCGGAUAGGACCACUUGGCGCAUGCCUUGUGGUGGAAAGCUUUUGCGGUGUGGGAUGGGCCCGCGGCCUAUCAGCUUGUUGGUGGGGUGACGGCCUACCAAGGCGACGACGGGUAGCCGGCCUGAGAGGGUGUCCGGCCACACUGGGACUGAGAUACGGCCCAGACUCCUACGGGAGGCAGCAGUGGGGAAUAUUGCACAAUGGGCGCAAGCCUGAUGCAGCGACGCCGCGUGGGGGAUGACGGCCUUCGGGUUGUAAACCUCUUUCAGCAGGGACGAAGCGCAAGUGACGGUACCUGCAGAAGAAGCACCGGCCAACUACGUGCCAGCAGCCGCGGUAAUACGUAGGGUGCGAGCGUUGUCCGGAAUUACUGGGCGUAAAGAGCUCGUAGGUGGUUUGUCGCGUUGUUCGUGAAAACCGGGGGCUUAACCCUCGGCGUGCGGGCGAUACGGGCAGACUGGAGUACUGCAGGGGAGACUGGAAUUCCUGGUGUAGCGGUGGAAUGCGCAGAUAUCAGGAGGAACACCGGUGG